rnacentral:snRNA from 1 species
GUGUUCGCUUAGGCAGUACAUAUACUAAAAUUGGAAUGAUACAGAGAAGAUUAGCAUG